rnacentral:rRNA from 1 species
AGAGUGAACGCUGGCGGCAGGCCUAACACAUGCAAGUCGAACGGCAACACAGGGGAGCUUGCUCCCUGGGUGGCGAGUGGCGGACGGGUGAGGAAAACGUCGGAAUCUGCCUAUUUGUGGGGGAUAACGUAGGGAAACUUACGCUAAUACCGCAUACGACCUACGGGUGAAAGCGGAGGACCUUCGGGCUUCGCGCAGAUAGAUGAGCCGACGUCGGAUUAGCUAGUUGGCGGGUAAAGCCCACAAGGCGACGAUCCGUAGCUGGUCUGAGAGGAUGAUCAGCCACACUGGAACUGAGACACGGUCCAGACUCCUACGGGAGGCAGCAGUGGGGAAUAUUGGACAAUGGGCGCAAGCCUGAUCCAGCCAUGCCGCGUGUGUGAAGAAGGCCUUCGGUGUAAAGCUACUUUUGUACCGAAAGAAAGCGAACCGGUUAAUACCCCUGGUGUCAAGUGAACGGUACCGGAAGAACGUAAGACCACCGGACUAACGUUCGUAGCCAGCCAGACCGCGGUAAUCUA